UGGGGAAUAUUGCACAAUGGGCGCAAGCCUGAUGCAGCCAUGCCGCGUGUGUGAAGAAGGCCUUCGGGUUGUAAAGCACUUUCAGCGAGGAGGAAGGUGGUGAACUUAAUACGUUCAUCAAUUGACGUUACUCGCAGAAGAAGCACCGGCUAACUCCGUGCCAGCAGCCGCGGUAAUACGGAGGGUGCAAGCGUUAAUCGGAAUUACUGGGCGUAAAGCGCACGCAGGCGGUUUGUUAAGUCAGNUGUGAAAUCCCCGGGCUCAACCUGGGAACUGCAUUUGAAACUGGCAAGCUAGAGUCUCGUAGAGGGGGGUAGAAUUCCAGGUGUAGCGGUGAAAUGCGUAGAGAUCUGGAGGAAUACCGGUGGCGAAGGCGGCCCCCCUGGACGAAGACUGACGCUCAGGCUGCGAAA
rnacentral:rRNA from 1 species